AUGGGUGAAAAAUUAAAAAAAAAAAAAAGGCAUUCAGAACUACCAAUAAAAGGGAAAGAAAUUUGGUUUAAAGAACGAAAUGCGUUCCCUCAGUGUUCCCUGCGCCACCGUGCACCGUGCGCACGCAGCCCCGUGUGCUCGCCGAGACCGGGGCACGCCUGGCACACACCGCCACAGGUUGGCGUGUUCGAGAAGCGCCCACCAGCUCGACCUCACGACCUCCUGCCCAGCGGCCACGGCGCCCCCCGGAAGCUCAGAUGCUAUGAUCAGAGAUAUAGGAGCUAA
rnacentral:lncRNA from 1 species